rnacentral:lncRNA from 1 species
AGGGGGUGUACCGGGGAUUGAACUCAGGAGCAUUCCACCACUGAGCCACUUCCCCAGCCCUAUUUUUUGUAUUUUAUUUAGAGACAGGGUCUCACUGAGUUGCUUAGCACCUCACCAUUGCUGAGGCUGGCUUUGAACUCAUGAUCCUCCUGCCUCAGCCUCCUGAGCCACUGGGAUGAUAGGCAUGUGCCACGGGGCCCAGCUGGUUUUAUCCUUUCUUAACAUCCGUCCCCACUAUCUAAUUCCAGAACAUUUCACCACCCAAAAUGCAACCAUGUGCUGGUAGCUGUCCCUCUCCUCCUGCCCUGGUGACCACGGGUCUCUCUCUGUCUCUGCGGAUUUGCCUAUUCCAUUUAUGUUCCACACACCACCUGGUCUUUCAUGUCUGACAUUUUUUUCAGUUAGCACAAUGUCUCAGGGCUCCCGGGUUGUGACAUGCUUCAGCUCUUCAUUCCUUUGUACAGCAGAAUAGUGCUGCAUUUUGUAGAUCAGCCACAUUUUGCUUCUCUGUUUAUCAACUGAUAGGCUCUGUGGUUCUUUUCACUCUGGGCUAUUAUGAACAGUGCUACUGCAAAUAUUUGUGUACAUGUUUUUGUGUGGACAUACGUUCAGUUAUCUUGGGGUAUACCAAAGGAGUAGAAUUGCUGGGUCCUAUGAAGAUAGGACAUUCUAUUUAAAGAUGGAAAAUGCAGAAGAACCCAUUAAAUCAUGUGACCUGGUGGCUGCCUACAGUCAUCCCACUGUUUAGAGCUGUAUGACCCCAGAUAAGUGAACUGACCUCUCUGAAUCUCAGUGGCUUUUAUUAUUAUUGUUGUUGUUUGUGUGUUAAGUGUCUUAAAUGAAGAGAGUGCCUUCUUGAUGUCCUUGUGAAAAUUAACUAAAUAAUGUAGGUGGAAGUGUUCGUAAGUGAUGCAGUGUGAGGCUCUUGGGUAUCUUCAUCCGUCUGUCAGACGUGCUUCUACGGCAGGGCAGCUGCUCACAGGUGAAUGCUGGGAACAUCCCCUGCAGCAUGGGCUGUGCCCAGCAAACUCUUUCCUUCCUAGCUAGUGGCCCUGCUGGAAAAUAGCCCCAUGAGAGGUGCCUAGAGAAGAAAUAAAUCUUUUCUUUGGGAAUUUCCAGCACCAUCUUGAGCCAGAGUGAGUGACUUUCCAGUUGCAUACGCUACACUCACAAUGCACACAUGUUAAACACAUGGUACACAUUACAUGGUGUACCACACAUCACAGUGUGCUGCACACGCACUUCAUGUGUGCCACACACUCAGUGCACAUGUCUCCCACUCACUUAUGCUGCUCCCUGCACACGUUACAUGCUGAAUGUGUGCUCAUACAUGUUGCAUUGCACUGCAUACAUGUCAUACGCACUGUGUAUGUGCCACACACUGCACAUGUGCUUCACACAUGCUACUCACUCCACACAAGCUGCUCAUGCUACACAGUGCUGCACAUGUAUACAUGCUAUAGACACACGCACGCUGCAUGCACUAGGUAUGCUGGGUACACACAGAGGAUGCACACACACGCUGCACAUACCUCCUCACCCAGAGCCAGGUGUGGCCACGCUCCCGGGAAGCUGGCCCACCAUCGCUCGGUCGGGUCCUCCCCACUGUGUGGUGCUUCACCUCCGGACCCCUCUCCCUUCAAAGAGCUGUCCUGUCCUCAAUUACAUCUGCCCGUGCUUCCCAAAUGGGCCUGUCCUGGGUCACAUCUCCUUGGGGCCUUGCUCCUGUGGCUCCCCCACAGUCAGAGCUAAGUGCACUGAUGUGAUGGUGAACUCCCAGGAGCAGGCAGGAAGGUGGCCUGGCAUCUUCCAGCUCUGCCACUUACUAGUUGUGUGGCCUUGUAGUCGCCCACUGUGGGCUUGAGUUUUCUCCUGUGCGAAACAGGGAUAAUGAUAAGCAGCCACCACAGGGGAUGAUGGUGGAGCAAACGGGGUCUGCUGUGCCCUACGUCACCCGUCACCCACCAUGUUCAACAGUCGGGACUCUCAGCAUGGCUGGUGCUACUACCCCACCCUCAUCAUCCGCGUGUGGCCAGUCCCUGUCUUCUCCACCCACCAAAGCAGCUGCCUUCAAUGCAACUGGAGCCGUCCCCACCCCAGUACUGUGUCACCAAGGGCUGGGGUUGAUGCUGCAAUUCUGGUGAGGAGGCUGGGACAGGUGUGCUCUUCGGCACCGGCUGACAGCCAGCAAGUGGACAAUAUACUAUUUAUAGAGUCCUCUGAGGGUCAUCACUAAUGUUACCUGAUAUUUAUGUACAUCUGCCUCUCCCUGAAGCUGUCCUGCUCACAAUUUUGUUGGUACCAACCUACGUGUGCAUGGCUGUCACCACCCUCCUGACCCCUAGGGUUCAGGGUUGUAACUUGAAAUCCCCAAGACCCAGGACCCAGCCCUGCCCCACCUCCGGGCUUCCGUCACUUCCCCCGCUGCAGUCCCAGCAGCCUCACUGGUCAGCUGGCCUCCCAGAGGCCCUCCGCUCUGUGGCCUCGCUGCCUUUGCAGCUCUGCUCCCCCACCAGGACGCGACUGCCACCUCCUCCCACCCCACACCCACUUCACCAGUUACUC